rnacentral:rRNA from 1 species
UACCAGGGCUUGACAUCCCUCUGACGGUGCUAGAGAUAGUGCUUUCUCUUCGGAGACAGGGGAGACAGGUGGUGCAUGGUUGUCGUCAGCUCGUGUCGUGAGAUGUUGGGUUAAGUCCCGCAACGAGCGCAACCCCUGUUGUUAGUUGCCAUCAUUAAGUUGGGCACUCUAACGAGACUGCCGGUGACAAAUCGGAGGAAGGUGGGGACGACGUCAAAUCAUCAUGCCCCUUAUGUCCUGGGCUACACACGUACUACAAUGGCGAAUACAAAGGGAAGCAAAGCCGCGAGGCGGAGCAAAUCCCCAAAAUUCGUCCCAGUUCGGAUUGUAGGCUGAAACUCGCCUACAUGAAGCUGGAGUUGCUAGUAAUCGCGAAUCAGCAUGUCGCGGUGAAUACGUUCCCGGGCCUUGUACACACCGCCCGUCACACCAUGAGAGUUGGCAAUACCCAAAGUACGUGAUCUAACCCGCAAGGGAGGAAGCGUCCUAAGGUAGGGUCAGCGAUUGGGGUG